GAGUUUGAUCGUGGCUCAGGAUGAACGCUGGCGGCGUGCCUAAUACAUGCAAGUCGAACGAACAGAUAAGGAGCUUGCUCCUUUGACGUUAGCGGCGGACGGGUGAGUAACACGUGGGUAACCUACCUAUAAGACUGGGAAUAACUCCGGGAAACCGGGGCUAAUGCCGGAUAACAUGUUGAACCGCAUGGUUCUACAGUGAAAGACGGUCUUGCUGUCACUUAUAGAUGGACCCGCGCCGUAUUAGCUAGUUGGUGGGGUAACGGCCUACCAAGGCGACGAUACGUAGCCGACCUGAGAGGGUGAUCGGCCACACUGGAACUGAGACACGGUCCAGACUCCUACGGGAGGCAGCAGUAGGGAAUCUUCCGCAAUGGGCGAAAGCCUGACGGAGCAACGCCGCGUGAGUGAUGAGGGUCUUCGGAUCGUAAAGCUCUGUUGUUAGGGAAGAACAAAUGUGUAAGUAACUGUGCAUAUCUUGACGGUACCUAACCAGAAAGCCACGGCUAACUACGUGCCAGCCGCCGCCGUAAU
rnacentral:rRNA from 1 species